rnacentral:rRNA from 15 species
GCACUCUGCAAACACGAAAGUGGACGUAUAGGGUGUGAUGCCUGCCCGGUGCUGGAAGGUUAAUUGAUGGGGUCAGCCGCAAGGCGAAGCUCUUGAUCGAAGCCCCAGUAAACGGCGGCCGUAACAAUAACGGUCCUAAGGUAGCGAAAUUCCUUGUCGGGUAAGUUCCGACCUGCACGAAUGGCAUAAUGAUGGGGGCGCUGUCUCCAGCAGAGACUCAGUGAAAUCGAAAUCGCCGUGAAGAUGCGGUGUACCCGCGGCUAGACGGAAAGACCCCGUGAACCUUUACUGCAGCUUGACAUUGAACUUUGAUCUUACUUGUGUAGGAUAGGUGGGAGGCUUUGAAACCAGGACGCUAGUUCUGGUGGAGCCAAUCUUGAAAUACCACCCUGGUAAUAUUGAGGUUCUAACUCUGCUCCAUAAUCUGGAGCGAGGACCAUGUCUGGUGGGUAGUUUGACUGGGGCGGUCUCCUCCUAAAGAGUAACGGAGGAGUACGAAGGUGCGCUCAGCGUGGUCGG